GCAAAGUUCUCAGUUGCCUUUCAGAGCUCAGGGAAGCGAGACGUGUGCUGAAGUACAGGAGAAAGUUUUUGAGUGAGAUCACCAUAAUGCGAGUGGUGGUGACGGUGGUGGUGAUGGUGAUGGCGGUGAUGGUGGUGGUGACCCAAGCAGCCUCUCGGGUCACGCUGGGUCACAAGAAGCGAUUUGGUGACAAGAAGAAAGUUAUCAGUGACACGACACGCUUCCCUUCCUCCGUGGUUACCUUCAAGUUACCUGUCUCCUUCCCUCCUUCAUUCUCCUCCUCCUCCUCCUCCUCUUCCUCCUCUCCCAAACCCUUCACCUCCUCUUCCUCUUCCUCUUACUCUCCUUCGUCGAUCUCCCUCUCUUCUCCCUCC